rnacentral:rRNA from 1 species
UACGAAGGGGGCUAGCGUUGCUCGGAAUUACUGGGCGUAAAGCGCACGUAGGCGGCUUUUUCAGUCGGGGGUGAAAUCCUGGAGCUCAACUCCAGAACUGCCUUCGAUACUGGAAAGCUCGAGUCCGGGAGAGGUGAGUGGAACUGCGAGUGUAGAGGUGAAAUUCGUAGAUAUUCGCAAGAACACCAGUGGCGAAGGCGGCUCACUGGCCCGGUACUGACGCUGAGGAGCGAAAGCGUGGGGAGCGAACAGG